AUUUCUGUUGACAGCUCAGUACAGUGUUCUACUGUUGGGAAAUGCCCUUAGUAAAGCUCUCGAGUUUCUUCACUGAGAACAGUAAGUGGGAGCCGUUAUCGGAGAGAGUACGCUGCUGAGACUUGCAUGGACCACACUGGAACCCAGCUAGCCAUGGUAGACCAUGUGCCCGUGCUGUGUGAGUGCAAUGGCUGAGCCGUUUCAGUGCGAAUCUCAGGACACAAGUUCCCCAGAGAGGAGACUCCUCUGAGCACCAGACUUGAAGCUUCAUUAAACACAGAGCCGCAC